GGGCCCGCACAAGCGGUGGAGCAUGUGGUUUAAUUCGAUGAUACGCGAGGAACCUUACCAGGGCUUAAAUGUAACGGGACAGAUCUAGAGAUAGAUCCUUCUUCGGACUCAUUACAAGGUGCUGCAUGGUUGUCGUCAGCUCGUGCCGUGAGGUGUCAGGUUAAGUCCUAUAACGAGCGCAACCCCCAUCGUUAGUUGCCAACGAGUAAUGUCGGGAACUCUAACGAAACUGCCGGUGCAAACCGUGAGGAAGGUGGGAUGACGUCAAAUCAUCACGGCCCUUACGUCCUGGGCUACACACGUGCUACAAUGGUCGGUACAGAGGGCAGCCACUACGCGAGUAGGAGCAAAUCCUUAAAGCCGAUCUCAG
rnacentral:rRNA from 1 species